AAGCUUGCAGAUAAGAAACAAGUCUCUUUCUGCAGAAACUUAGAAAAGGCUGGCAAUAGUGAUGCCGUGUUACGAGCCUUAAGGACAGCUGAAGUCUUUAAGGUCCCUGAAAAUGACUACAGUA